rnacentral:rRNA from 1 species
AUUGAACGCUGGCGGCAUGCCUUACACAUGCAAGUCGAACGAGUGGCGGACGGGUGAGUAAUGUAUGGGAACCUGCCUGAUGGAGGGGGAUAACUACUCGAAACGGUAGCUAAUACCGCAUACCAUCAGAUGUGCCGAGAUGGGAUUAGCUAGUUGGUGGGGUAACGGCUCACCAAGGCGACGAUCCGUAGCUGGUCUGAGAGGAUGACCAGCCACACUGGAACUGAGACACGGCCCAGACUCCUACGGGAGGCAGCAGUGGGGAAUAUUGGACAAUGGGGGCAACCCUGAUACAGCCAUGCCGCGUGUAUGAAGAAGGCCUUCGGGUUGUAAAGUACUUUCAGCGGGGAGGCGUUACCCGCAGAAUAAGCACCGGCUAACUCCGUGCCAGCCGCCGCGGUAAUAC